ensembl:snRNA U6 U6 spliceosomal RNA
GUGCUCACUUUGGCAGCGCAUACACUACAACUGGAAUACAGAGAAGAUUAUCACAGUCCCUGAACAAGGAUAACAUGCAAAUUCAUGAAGUAUUUCUUUUUUUU